AAAGGGGCAGUAAGGCAUGGAUAACCUACCCCGGGGAUCGGGAUAGCCAUUCUAACGAGUGGGUAAUACCGGGCGAUGCGACGGAGGGGCAUCUCUUUGUCGUGAAAUGAGUUUCGCCUCGGGAGGGGUUCAUGUAGUAUUAGCUUGUUGGUGAGGUAACGGCUCACCAAGGCCAAGAUGCUUAGCGGGUGUGAGAGCACGACCCGCGCCACUGGCACUGAGACACUGGCCAGACUCCUACGGGAGGCUGCAGUCGAGGAUCUUCGGCAAUGGGCGCAAGCCUGACCGAGCGACGCCGCGUGUGCGAUGAAGGCCUUCGGGUUGUAAAGCACUGUCGAGGGGGAGGAAAGCCCGCAAGGGUCUGACCUAUCCCUGGAGGAAGCACGGGCUAAGUUCGUGCCAGCAGCCGCGGUAAGACGAACCGUGCGAACGUUGUUCGGAUUCACUGGGCUUAAAGGGCGCGUAGGCGGACGGUCAAGUCGGGGGUGAAAUCUUUCAGCUUAACUGGAAAAGUGCCUCCGAUACUGAUCGUCUCGAGGGAGGUAGGGGCAUGUGGAACUUCCGGUGGAGCGGUGAAAUGCGUAGAUAUCGGAAGGAACGCCGGUGGCGAAAGCGACGUGCUGGACCUCUUCUGACGCUGAGGCGCGAAAGCUAGGGGAGCAAACGGGAUUAGAUACCCCGGUAGUCCUAGCCCUAAACGAUGGGUACUAGAUUGUGGACUUAACAUGGGUUCACAGUCGAAGCUAAAGUGUUAAGUACCCCGCCUGGGGAGUAUGGUCGCAAGGCUGAAACUCAAAGGAAUUGACGGGGGCUCACAC
rnacentral:rRNA from 1 species